rnacentral:rRNA from 1 species
AACGAACGCUGGCGGCAGGCCUAACACAUGCAAGUCGAACGCCCUAGCAAUAGGGAGUGGCAGACGGGUGAGUAACACGUGGGAACCUUCCCUAUAGUACGGAAUAUACCAGGGAAACUUGGAGCAAUACCGUAUACGCCCGAGAGGGGAAAGGAUUUAUCGCUAUAGGAUGGGCCCGCGUAGGAUUAGCUAGUUGGUGAGGUAAUGGCUCACCAAGGCGACGAUCCUUAGCUGGUUUGAGAGAACGACCAGCCACACUGGGACUGAGACACGGCCCAGACUCCUACGAGAGGCAGCAGUGGGGAAGUAUUGGACAAUGGGCGCAAGCCUGAUCCAGCCAUGCCGCGUGAGUGAUGAAGGCCUUAGGGUUGUAAAGCUC